rnacentral:ncRNA from 1 species
GUGCUUAAUUAAUUCUUUUGAUUUCGUGUUUAAUUUUUAGGAGUUCCAUCCCAGGUUCAAAAACCACAAAGAAUUCGUUUGUAUUAGCAUUUGUCAAGGAUGUUUUCACUAAUCAAGAACGAAAAUUGGGGACUCAAAGACGGAUCAAAUACCGUCCUAGUCUCAACCAUAAACGAUAUUGACCAGAGAUCGGCAAAUAUUGUUUUUAUUGACUCCGCUGGUACCUUAUGAGAAAUUAAAAUUUUUGGAU